GCAUCAAGGCCGUUUCAGUUCAUCAGUUAGCCAAGCCACGUGGUUGGUGAAGGCUAGCACUGACCUUUCUGACUUGAUGGUUUAAGUUCAAUGGUGAUUUAAUGGUAAUGGUAAUUUUUCACAGGUUAGUUUAGGUUCUGUUCGUGCAAGGGAUGUGAGUUUAUAGUGUCUAACUAGUUAUAUUAAAUGCUGUUUUGUUUUGAUUUUGAAUUUUUUUUUUCUUUUUUCUUUUUCAGAAUAUGAAGUGGAUGGGGAAACUGUUAAUGGUGGCCUGACGGACCUUAUGAUUUCCCAGCUCUUUGAGGGGUCCUUCAAAAAGCAAGUAAAGUUCAUAAACCUGAUCUCUCAGCUGAAAACAGAAAUUUGCUAUGUUGCAGCUCCUGCUUCAAUGUCUGAAUUAAGGUAUCCUUCCGGUGAAGAUUAUGUGAAGGCUGCCAAGGCACUUUGUUGCCAAAUACCCUUUCUUGAAGGACUUGGAGGGGAAUGGAUAUCAUAUGUUGCACAUGUCAUUAAAAAGGAAGUUCAAAACUGAACGAUCACCUCUUGUGGAUGAAGAACAGGUCAAACAGUUCAAAGCGAAAUUUGGUCAUCGCAAGGGCCAAGUCCAAACAGACACCAAGCCAGAUAACAUGUGAAAGAAGAUGCGAAAUGGAUCAUGAGUCUCAAGGUCCUGUUGGCGAAGAUGCAGUCUCAAUUGAUGCCCAUGUAAAAGUCUUACAAAUGCAGUAUGAACGGACUCAACCAGAUAGUGCCAUAGUGGAGGAAAAAAUG